CCAAGACUUUCAAAAGCUUUCGUGUGUGCUUUCCUCUGCUCCCCAGAACCAUCGGCUGCAUCCUUAUCAACUCCUUGCAGCUGCUGGCUUGGCCAGGAGUUGAAAAUGUGACUGCCUCUCCCUUGGGUACCCAUAAUGGUUCCAUGUUAAGUCUUAUGUAUAAUUUUUCCUAAUUUUUUUCAAAUGUUCUUUUUCUGCCAGGGAAUGUUUUAAAAAGGGAAAUAGAGUAUUAUGGAAUAAGAUUACCCUUCUAUGUCCUUCGUGCAAAUCCAACCAGUAUUUAUAUAAAUGAAGUGAACGUACGUUCCCUCAUGAGGCAUGCAAUGAAAAUGACAAUUUGCAUUUAUGCAGGAUUGGGGCAGUGUUUUGCUCACUACAUUCUGGGAUUCCUAAGCUUUGUGGGAGUAGUUCCAAGGGUUUGGCAGAAACGAGAGUCAAGACACCAGAGAGUGGCAUGCUAGGAAGAACAGCCCCGGCCUCUUCAGCAGCCCUCCUUUCUUACUUUCUCAUCCAUGAUUAUCUACAGUGACAAGAAGAUAAAACUGGACCUUGCAAUACUAGUCACAGCAUGAAAAAUACAUCCACCCCUCCUUUUGAUAGCAGGUUCUCAGUAUGUAAAGGGAAUCUUUUUGGCUGCCUGCCUAACGCAUUGCAGGUCCAGCAUUCCUGAGCUGCUUUUGAUUCAUAAAAUUAACCAGGCAUUUGAGGGCUUCUAAAAGUGCUUGAUGGACAGCAUUUCUCUCAAUGAAAGAGUAGGCACUGCUCCUUGGUCAAAGGAGAGUCCAACCAAGGAAGCCUAAUGAGUUAUUCCUCACCCAAUACCUGGAGACCAUGACCUGAGGGUGAGGGGCUUCCCCAGCGCCAUGUGACUGGGCUGUUCUUUCCUCAGCCCUUCUCUUAAGGGGGUUAACAGCUCUUGCUGGCAGUCCAAAUGGCUGCAUAGCUUUCAGUCCAAAAGUCCCAUUAUCAUAUCCCGCUCCUGUGUGAAGGGAUAAGAGUAGAGGCAUUGGACAUGGCCUCAGUUGGACUCCAAGUUCUGCCCUUUACUGUGUGCCCUGAGUAAUUUACCUUCUCCAGGCGUCAGUUUCCUCAUUUGCAAAAACAACAGCAGCAGUAAGAUUAAGUUAAUCCAAGCAAUGCACUUCACAUAGGGCCUGCUCAAUAGAUGUUUGCUGUCGUAUCACUUCCCAGCUCAAAAACUUUCUGUGGCUCCCCAGUGUCUGAAGGUCUAACCCCAUCCUGCCUUUCUAAGUUGGCCUGAGUUCCUACCAGCCCAGGGCAGAGAACACUUGAUUUCCUCACAUUUUAUGUUACACACUGCCCCUGCCUUGUGUUCCCAGUAUCUACAGAUGGUAGGGAAUAUCUCAAGAUAGCAGGUUUGUGGUAGAGGGCAUUGGUUCCAGAAGUUUCACUGAUAGAGAUACCUUUUAAGAUUUUAUGGCUAACUUAAGAAAUAAUUCAUGUCUCUUUGCAAUAUGGUUCAAGUGUCUUGAGUGACUUUGAGUCCCCACCUGGGGAUAAUGGAGGUGAAGCAGCAAGAAAGCACAUUCCCUCUCAGUUUCACAACCUGCACCAUGUGUUGGUGGUUAUUUGGGCAGCAGGGAGUCCUGUUCAUGGAAAUGGAUUCCUGCUCACAUAAUAACUAAGAGUUCUGUGAACUCCCUCAGCUGGGCAGGGGCAACUCUGGUGCUUCUGUCUGCAAGAAAGGGGACAGACAGGGAGGCUGAGGUGAGGAGCUGGUUCUGGGAAUAGAGUCAUUUGUUCUGGGAUAUAGGGAUGUGAGGGGAGGGCCAGCUCAAUGCAGACUGAUGAAGAGCGGGGAGAGUGAUGAGUGCCUGCCGCAGCUUGGGCUGGAUGGAUGUGGGGAGGCUAGGCAGUGAGGGAGAUGUGGAUCUGACAUCUCAGCCUGAGGGAAAGUCCCGGUUGAGAUGGGGGAAGAGAGAAAAAGAGGAAUCUGAGAAGGGAGAAACCAAAGGCUGGAAAUCCCAGCUCCGGGUAUAAGGGAGUGUGGGGACGGGGGAGGCCUGCCUCAGGUAACCCUACGCCUAACAGUUGUCUAAAAUGCUCCCUUUCCUUGUCAUGUUUGAGGAAAAGUGGUUCAAAGAGGCCGUCUGAUGCGGGAUCACACAGCGCUGAAGGGAUGAGGGGUCCCGGGUGCUCCCGCCCGUCCCGCUGCCUCCUCCGGUGGCUCUCUGGGAGCCACAGCCCCGUCUAGCCACGGAGGGGCCUUCAGCACGCCCCAAACGCUAAGGGGAAGCUCGGGAGGUGCGGUAGGAAGGCAGAGAAACCUGGUUUUUAAAACGCAAGCCAUUUUCAAGGAAAGAAUUUCUUACUUAAAAAUAGCGUAUGGAAUGGCGGCGGAAUGACGGGAGGGACCGAGCUGGGGGACUGGACGGCGCCCCGGGGACACAGGAAGGAGGCGCGCAGAGCCGAGCCCAGAGGCGCGCCCGGGGAGUGGAAGCGCGAAGACAAACGCGGCGCCGCGGAGGGUGGGGGAGGAAGGGCCGGGGCGGGGCGCGGGCUGCCAGCCCAGGGCUGGGCGGAGCCCUACUUCUGGCCGACCGCGUAGGCGGUGCUUGAACUUAGGGCUGCUUGUGGCUGGGCACUCGCGCAGAGGCCGGCCCGACGAGCCAUGGUUGCUGGGAGCGACGCGGGGCGGGCCCUGGGGGUCCUCGGCGUGGUCUGCCUGCUGCACUGCUUUGGUUUCAUCAGCUGUUUUCCCCAACAAAUAUAUGGCGUUGUGAAUGGGAGUGUAACUUUCCAUGUACCAAGCAAUGUGCCUUUAAAAGAGGUCCUAUGGAAAAAACAAAAAGAUAAAGUUGCAGAACUGGAAAAUUCUGAAUUCAGAGCUUUCUCAUCUUUUAAAAAUAGGGUUUAUUUAGACACUGUGUCAGGUAGCCUCACUAUCUACAACUUAACAUCAUCAGAUGAAGAUGAGUAUGAAAUGGAAUCGCCAAAUAUUACUGAUACCAUGAAGUUCUUUCUUUAUGUGCUUGAGUCUCUUCCAUCUCCUACACUAACUUGUGCAUUGACUAAUGGAAGCAUUGAAGUCCAAUGCAUGAUACCGGAGCAUUACAACAGCCAUCGAGGACUUAUAAUAUACUCAUGGGAUUGUCCUAUGGAGCAAUGUAAACGUAACUCAACCAGUAUAUAUUUUAAGAUGGAAAAUGAUCUUCCACAAAAAAUACAGUGUACUCUUAGCAAUCCAUUAUUUAAUAAAACAUCAUCAAUCAGUUUGACAACCUGUAUCCCAAGCAGCGGUCAUUCAAGACACAGAUAUGCACUUAUACCCGUACCAUUAGCAGUAAUUACAACAUGUAUUGUGCUGUAUAUGAAUGAGUCUCGCUAUGUUGCUCAGGCUGGUCUUGAACUCCUGGACUCAAGUGAUCUGACUGCCUCAGCCUCCCAAAGUGCUGGAAUUACCACUGAGCAUUUACUAUGUUCCAGGCCCUGUGCUAAGUGCAUUGCCUGCUGCGUCUCACCCUUCAGUAGGAGUAGCCUCAGCUGCUAAUCAUGGUGAAAUAAAUGUCACUGCAAGUUUAAGGAAGACUAUGCACUAUUACCACUGAGCAUUUACUAUGUUCCAGGCCCUGUGCUAAGUGCAUUGCCUGCUGCGUCUCACCCUUCAGUAGGAGUAGUUACCUCCAACUCCCGCCAGACCCAAUUCAGAGCUGCCAUCAGGUCAGACCUUUGCCUGCUCUUGGCAACACGUCCCCCUGUCCUGCUCCUCUGCAACCUGCCCCUCUUUUUCUUCAUGUGCUGUGAAGGCACCAUGUGGAUGGGUGUUCAACUUCUGGAUUGGGGAUGCACAGAGCCUGAGGGACACACUUUGCAAACCUGCACCUUGCACUUUUGGGUUCUGGCCUGCAAGGUCUCCUUUAUUCUUUUGGACCAAGGCUGUCCCUGGGAGAGGGCAGCCUCCGGCCUGUCAGAGCAAAUCAGCCUCAGGCGGUUUCUGCGGCUCUGGUAUUUGAGCUUUGUUUUCCGUCUCUCCCGGGAAGAACUCAUUGAAAUAGUUUCUCUGGGAAAGACAAAGCAUCUCGCCCAGAUGCUGAAGGAUCACUUGGUAACUGCCUGUCUUGGUUUCCCGUUGUGCCCAUGAAGGCGCCAUCAGCUCUAAAGCUGACCUGUGGUUCCGUCUCCAAACAGCUAACCCAGACGUCACCCCCUUGCAGCCAGCCGCACAGCCUGAGUUGGAGUUCUGGCCUCUCCUAGCAGUGAGUGACAGUGUUGGAGGGGCCUUGGACACCUUGGGUAAUUGCUAAAUAAAUAUGAGCAGUAGGGGAAGGUCUUCUGGUCCACGGCAGAGCCAACGGGGCACUUCCUCUUCUCUUUUCUAGUCAGGGUAGAAAGCUAGAAAGAAUCCUAAAAAUCACUAUCCAAGUCCCCAUUGUGUGGGGACAGAGGCCUGGCCUGAAGCCUAGGCUGGAGGGUUCAGUCGGAAGCAGAAGCCCGGAGACUGCAUGAGAGGGUUCCUUCCAGCUUCACCAAGCCCGUGCUGCGCGGGAUGAAGAAAGUCAAGCCUGUCUUCCAGUGGGGCCCUGAGGUGGGGGAGCUGGAGGAUAGGGUGGCAGCUUUUUUAUCAGCUGUCCCCAAAAAAGGCCCUUCUCCCAGUCGCCACGGACCAAAGCUCCUCCUGGGGGCUCCAGCCUGUCUGUUCAAUGUUUGCCUUGCGCCUUUUCCUGGUGAGGCCACCCCCGGCACCAUCUCAGGCCUCAGAAGGACGACCUCACUGAAACAGCCCUUAGGUUGGGAAAGAAGCAAGCCCUCCGCACCCCGUCCAAGUCUCUCAACUGGGCACGAGCACACACAGACGCCCAGGCCCUGUCCCUGCGCCAGAAUGGCCGCUCGCGUUUCCAGGCACGAUGCCCCUUUCCAUGAGUGCACAGAGCCCUGGGCUGAGCUGGGGGCCGAGCUCCACGCUCUCUGAGCAGCUCUGAGCGGCACGCCAAAGAAGGUCUUUCAGAUGGGCUCUGGGAUGUGGAACCAUGGCGUCCAGCCCUAGCGUCGACUCCACACUAGAGGCACCCUGACUUUCGCCCCCUUCUUACCUGAGUAUCAGCUUACUUCCAUCUGGGGACUGAAUAUGGGGCAGAUUCCAGAAAAAGGAGGUUGGGGCACCAAAACCAACACCAACUCUGCCAACGGAGCCAGCACAGCUAUUUGUCUCCAACCACAGGCCGCAAGGGAAGUUCACGGGCUCGGCACCCCCAGGUCCCGGAUGUAAGGAUAUUGCCCGUUAGACAAAGGAAAGGCCCCAAGUCCACAACUCAUGUUUGUGAGCUUAACCUUGUCCUAUAAAGCACUUUGGAACAGGCCCAGGUUCUCCCACCAUGUACAGCUGCCAUUGACCUGGACAGUCCCGCAAGGUCCUUCAGUGGAAACCCAGAAGGGAGAGUCACUGCAUGUGAACCCUAAGGGUUCUGGAGGUCAAAGUUGCUGUGGGUGACAGGCAACCAAGACUAAGGGCAAACUUGAAACAUAAAUGAGUUAAAACCCACAAAAAUAAGACAGUUUUAAAUAACUAAA